GGGUCCGUAAGGGCCGUGCACAGGUGGUGCAUGGUUGUCGUCAGCUCGUGUCGUGAGAUGUUGGGUUAAGUCCCGCAACGAGCGCAACCCUCGUUCCAUGUUGCCAGCACGUGAUGGUGGGGACUCAUGGGAGACUGCCGGGGUCAACUCGGAGGAAGGUGGGGAUGACGUCAAAUCAUCAUGCCCCUUAUGUCUAGGGCUGCAAACAUGCUACAAUGGCCGGUACAAAGGGCUGCGAUACCGUGAGGUGGAGCGAAUCCCAAAAAGCCGGUCUCAGUUCGGAUUGGGGUCUGCAACUCGACCCCAUGAAGUUGGAGUCGCUAGUAAUCGCAGAUCAGCAACGCUGCGGUGAAUACGUUCCCGGGCCUUGUACACACCGCCCGUCACGUCACGAAAGUCGGUAACGCCCGAAGCCGGUGGCCCAACCCUUUCCGGGAGGGAGCCGUCGAAGGCGGGAUCGGCGAUUGGGACGAAGUCGUAACAAGGUAGCCGUACCGGAAGGUGCGGCUGGAUCACCUCCUUUCU
rnacentral:rRNA from 1 species